rnacentral:rRNA from 1 species
CACGUAGGGCGCGAGCGUUGUCCGGAAUUAUUGGGCGUAAAGAGCUCGUAGGCGGCCUGUUGCGUCCGCUGUGAAAGCCCGGGGCUUAACCCCGGGUCGGCAGUGGAUACGGGCAGGCUAGAGGUAGGUAGGGGAGAAUGGAAUUCCCGGUGUAGCGGUGAAAUGCGCAGAUAUCGGGAGGAACACCAGUGGCGAAGGCGGCAUCCUGGCCCUGUCCUGACGCUCAGGGGCGAAAGCGUGGGGAGCAAACCGG